UACGUAGGGUGCAAGCGUUAAUCGGAAUUACUGGGCGUAAAGCGUGCGCAGGCGGUUUUGUAAGUCUGACGUGAAAUCCCCGGGCUCAACCUGGGAAUUGCGUUGGAGACUGCAAGGCUAGAAUCUGGCAGAGGGGGGUAGAAUUCCACGUGUAGCAGUGAAAUGCGUAGAGAUGUGGAGGAACACCGAUGGCGAAGGCAGCCCCCUGGGUCAAGAUUGACGCUCAUGCACGAAAGCGUGGGGAGCAAACCGG
rnacentral:rRNA from 1 species